AUACGACCGUACCGCAAACCGACACUGGUGCGCGAGAUGAGUAUUCUAAGGCGCUUGAGAGAACUCAGGAGAAGGAACUCGGCAAAUUGACACCGUAACUUCGGAAGAAGGUGUGCCCUAUUAGUGUGUAGUGAACAACGAAGCAUGAAUGGGUUGCAAAAAAUCGGUGGCUGCGACUGUUUAUUAAAAACACAGCACUCUGCAAACACGAAAGUGGACGUAUAGGGUGUGACGCCUGCCCGGUGCUGGAAGAUUAAAUGAUGGGGUGCAAGCUCUUGAUUGAAGUCCCAGUAAACGGCGGCCGUAACCAUAACGGUCCUAAGGUAGCGAAAUUCCUUGUCGGGUAAGUUCCGACCUGCACGAAUGGCGUAACGAUGGCCACACUGUCUCCUCCUGAGACUCAGCGAAGUUGAAAUGUUUGUGAUGAUGCAAUCUCCCCGCGGAAAGACGGAAAGACCCCAUGAACCUUUACUGUAGCUUUGUAUUGGACUUUGAACAGAUCUGUGUAGGAUAGGUGGGAGGCUUUGAAGCAGGGUCGCUAGAUCUUGUGGAGCCAACGUUGAAAUACCACCCUGGUGUGUUUGAGGUUCUAACCUAGGUCCAUUAUCUGGAUCGGGGACAGUGCAUGGUAGGCAGUUUGACUGGGGCGGUCUCCUCCCAAAGCGUAACGGAGGAGUUCGAAGGUACGCUAGUUACGGUCGGACAUCGUGACGAUAGUGCAAUGGCAUAAGCGUGCUUAACUGCGAGACUGACAAGUCGAGCAGAUGCGAAAGCAGGACAUAGUGAUCCGGUGGUUCUGUAUGGAAGGGCCAUCGCUCAACGGAUAAAAGGUACUCUGGGGAUAACAGGCUGAUACCGCCCAAGAGUUCAUAUCGACGGCGGUGUUUGGCACCUCGAUGUCGGCUCAUCUCAUCCUGGGGCUGUAGCCGGUCCCAAGGGUAUGGCUGUUCGCCAUUUAAAGAGGUACGUGAGCUGGGUUUAAAACGUCGUGAGACAGUUUGGUCCCUAUCUUCCGUGGGCGCUGCAGAUUUGAGGAAGCCUGCUCCUAGUACGAGAGGACCGGAGUGGACACACCUCUGGUGUAUCGGUUGUCACGCCAGUGGCAUUGCCGAGUAGCUAAGUGUGGAAGAGAUAACCGCUGAAAGCAUCUAAGCGGGAAACUCGUUUCAAGAUGAGAUCUGCCGGGGCCUUGAGCCCCCUAAAGAGUCGUUCAAGACCAGGACGUUGAUAGGUCAGGUGUGGAAGCGAA
rnacentral:rRNA from 1 species